GAGCGAACAGAUGAGAAGCUUGCUUCUCUGAUGUUAGCGGCGGACGGGUGAGUAACACGUGGGUAACCUACCUAUAAGACUGGGAUAACUCCGGGAAACCGGGGCUAAUACCGGAUAAUAUUUUGAACCGCAUGGUUCAAUAGUGAAAGACGGUUUCGGCUGUCACUUAUAGAUGGACCCGCGCCGUAUUAGCUAGUUGGUAAGGUAACGGCUUACCAAGGCGACGAUACGUAGCCGACCUGAGAGGGUGAUCGGCCACACUGGAACUGAGACACGGUCCAGACUCCUACGGGAGGCAGCAGUAGGGAAUCUUCCGCAAUGGGCGAAAGCCUGACGGAGCAACGCCGCGUGAGUGAUGAAGGUCUUCGGAUCGUAAAACUCUGUUGUUAGGGAAGAACAAAUUUGUUAGUAACUGAACAAGUCUUGACGGUACCUAACCAGAAAGCCACGGCUAACUACGUGCCAGCAGCCGCGGUAAUACGUAGGUGGCAAGCGUUAUCCGGAAUUAUUGGGCGUAAAGCGCGCGUAGGCGGUUUCUUAAGUCUGAUGUGAAAGCCCACGGCUCAACCGUGGAGGGUCAUUGGAAACUGGGAAACUUGAGUGCAGAAGAGGAGAGUGGAAUUCCAUGUGUAGCGGUGAAAUGCGCAGAGAUAUGGAGGAACACCAGUGGCGAAGGCGGCUCUCUGGUCUG
rnacentral:rRNA from 1 species